rnacentral:lncRNA from 1 species
AAAACACUGACCCUCUCUUCUGUUUCAUUGUGGUAUGUUUAUUGGAGGAUUACUGCGAGUUUUUCCAGCCCUGCCUGAGGAGACUGCUGGCAGAGUUGACCUUAACAGAGACAUGGACCUAUUUUUCAAAGUGUUCUGUAUGUGUGCAGCUGUCAAAAACAAAGCUGUUUGCUUCCGUACUUCCUACUGCUUCUGUCUAUGUUUACCAGAGAGGCUGGUGAGAUCAGCACACCCAAGGACAGCUUAUUGAAGAAGUAUGCAUCUGACUAGAAAAUAAUCCAGGACACACAAAUGAAGGGAAUUGCAGUGGAGUUGUGGUACUGACCUUGAGGGCAGUGUGUGCAAUAUUCCAAGAGGAUGGGAUGACAGAAAUUCCUGGUAAAAAUCAGAGUGGCC